UACGUAGGGUGCGAGCGUUGUCCGGAAUUAUUGGGCGUAAAGAGCUCGUAGGCGGUGUGUCACGUCGGCCGUGAAAACCUGCAGCUUAACUGUGGGCGUGCGGUCGAUACGGGCAUCACUGGAGUUCGGCAGGGGAGACUGGAAUUCCUGGUGUAGCGGUGAAAUGCGCAGAUAUCAGGAGGAACACCGGUGGCGAAGGCGGCAUCCUGGACCGGCACUGACACUGAGGAGCGAAAGCCAGGGGAGCAAACGGG
rnacentral:rRNA from 1 species